AUGCCCCUCACUCAUCCAGUAUACGUAAAUGUAACCAAAUGUAGUAUAUGUAACCAACACACUCUCAGACUUUAGCGCAAUAAGUUAAUAUGUUGUGUUAUGCUGUUGAGUUGAGACUGUGAAUGGAACGAUUAUUAAAAUGAGCAAGCUAGAGACAACUAUUGCAGUGUUUAUAAUUUGUGGUAAUUGCAGCAUGAUAUUGCAAAAGAACAUAAAUAAUGCUCCUCUCAAUGUUUCUAUCUAUGCCUUUCGUUCAUCUCUUAGUCUCUCUGAAAUUAAGCAGCAGAGCAUGGCACAAGCACUGCUGCUUACGUCUAUAAUGGAGUCAUCAGUGGGUUUCAGACAGAGGCAACUCCUGUCCCUUAUGCACAUAUGUUUUGGUAUUUUCAAGACUGUUCCUGUCAUACCAAAGCCAAGGCUCACUGGCCCCUCAUGGUAUUGAAGCUUGCUCACCAAUUACUCAGAGUGGAUGAUACAUUUUCUGGAUUUUGUCAGGUGCCAUCUGUCUUGCCCUAAUCAUGGUAUGAAAGGUCACAGCAAAUUUAAUAACAAGCUGCUCAAGAAUGUGUCCCAGCUAGUGUCGCAACAUACCCCCUGGGUUCAUUCUUAAGACUGGGAAAACAUGGGGAAGGCAGGAAAUGGAAAUUCAAGACGAUGAGCAAACCGAGAACAAGAUGAAAGCAGGAGCCAACGUUUCAACAAGUGGACUUGUCUUCUUCAAGGCGACAUAUGCUUUCCUCGCCACAGUUACAGAUAUUAAGAAUCAAUUUGGUUGAUGCCCAGCCUGAUACUCCGUGAUUAUACUGAUAGAUAUGCAUACAAUUGUUUAUCCUUUUUCUGUGGAUUGCAUUUCACCUACUAACAAUUGAAAGAUAUCAGUCAACGUGAGAUGCAAAUAGUGUUGUACUUUGCGGAAGGUAUGUAUAUAUAUAUAUAUAUAUAUAUAUAGCACCAGCAAUUAUGUUACGACCUUUGACGAGUCAUGUGACGCGCUUGACACACCAUGCUCGCCGCUGGGUUGUUGUGCUUUGAGUGCCACAUGUU